GAUGAACGCUGGCGGCGCGCCUAACACAUGCAAGUCGAACGGCACCCCUCCUCGGAGGGAAGCGAGUGGCGAACGGCUGAGUAACACGUGGAGAACCUGCCCCCUCCCCCGGGAUAGCCGCCCGAAAGGACGGGUAAUACCGGAUACCCCGGGGUGCCGCAUGGCACCCCGGCUAAAGCCCCGACGGGAGGGGAUGGCUCCGCGGCCCAUCAGGUAGACGGCGGGGUGACGGCCCACCGUGCCGACAACGGGUAGCCGGGUUGAGGGACCGACCGGCCAGAUUGGGACUGAGACACGGCCCAGACUCCUACGGGAGGCAGCAGUGGGGAAUCUUGCGCAAUGGGGGGAACCCUGACGCAGCGACGCCGCGUGCGGGACGGAGGCCUUCGGGUCGUAAACCGCUUUCAGCAGGGAAGAGUCAAGACUGUACCUGCAGAAGAAGCCCCGGCUAACUACGUG
rnacentral:rRNA from 1 species